CCGGGGCUUCCUGCGGCCUCCCGCCGACGCCCGAGACGGGGACACCGGGUGACAAGAGUCCUCUCCGAGGGGCGGCCCUGCCGUGCGCUGGGAUCGGGGGCCUCCAGGGCCUGCCCACCACCCACUCGGGCCCGGCUGCUGAACAAAACCCGGUGGUGGCGGAGGAAGCCACCCCUUUCGCGCCAGACUUCCCAACUGCUCCCGGGCGACUCGAUGAAACCUGAGUUUCUGUUAUUGGAUAGCAACCCCCAUGCCCCGUGGGCUUGGCAAAGACAUUCCAGACGGCAGCCUCAUUCCGCCCACGUGUGUCCCAGGGCAGGCCAGGCACACCAGGAGUUGCUGUCAUUUCUUGGUUCCAGCUCAGUCGGCACAGCCUUUGGAGAAGACAUCUUGGUUUUAUUCCAUCUCUGACAUGCAAACUGCAGGCUUUCUCUUCUACUUGUGAAUCUCUCAUCAUCUUGCCGUGAGAAGGUAUCUAGUCUGAAUGUCAGUAUGGGAAGCACAGGCCUAAGUCAGAAAGCAUUCAGGUACCCAGGCGGGCUGCCUGUUGCCCAUAGAUGGACUGUUCACACAGCUAUUAACGGCAGCAGCAGCAUUCCUGGGCCCAGGAGCCCGGCCAAUAAGCUUACUUGCUCAGGCUUUGUGACAAGAAAGUCUAAGUAGCCAGGAAGUGGGAUGUUUGUAGGGAAAAGUACUACAGUCCCUCUGGGUCAGAACUCAUCCACCUGGUAUAAAUCUAAUCUUUUUUAAAUGUUUCUAUAGUUAAGAACCGAGUCCAGUUUUAUGUAUUCCUAACAACAGGGGGUUAUUUAGCUCAUGUUUCAGCCUUACUCUGAAGAAUAAUGAUGCAAUAUUGAUUGAAAUGGAAAGAUGUUCAUGUUGUAACGUCCCGCAAACAAUCUGAUUACCCAUAGUAUGACCCCAUCUGUUAAUUAAUUAAUUUAUUUUUAUUUUGGCCACGCGGCGCAUGCAGGAUCUUAGCAUGCGGGAUCUUAGUUUCCUGACCAGGGAUCAAACCCGUGCCCCAUUUGUUAUAUGUGUUCGUAUGCCUACCAAAAAACUGUGAAGGUAACAUUUUCUCUAGGUGGCUAGGUUUGUUUUGUUGUUUUUUCUUGCCUGCAUUUUCUGUCUUUCUGUACUAAACAUAUAUACCCUGGGUACUAAAGAAAUAUUAAAGUUCAAAAUAAAAUUAAAAGUUCAGUUCUUGAGGAAAAAGAGUAUAUUAUUAAUAGCCCAGACCUAACAGAUGAUUUGAAGCCAUGUGUAUAUAUCUAAGUCAAUAAAGGAAUGUGGUUAGAAAAGAAAGGAACAGAUUUAGACUUACCAGCUGUGUUUGGAAUUUUGAAUAACCUGCUAACCCAAGCAUGCUAUUUAGUUCCCUUUUUUUUUUUGCUCAUUAAUCUCAUGUGUUCAAAAUGGGAAUGUGCGAAAUUCAUUCACUGCGGUAUGACAAUGUCAUGGAUACAGUCAGCAAACUGUAUUAACUAAGGAGAUUUAAACUUCUCAAAUAUCAUCCAACACCCUGGCAUGGUGGAAACACCAUUGUUUGGUGAGGAAGGUGUUAACUCUGGCCAACAAGCAAUAGUUUGUGAGAAAAUGGAUUUAAAGACUAAACUUGAGCCAUGAGAGUUUUAGAAGUGUACCUCUUCUAAAAUCAUGAAAAUGCUCUUUGUCUAAGUAACUUUAUGAUAAUGUAAUACAACGUGAAUUAACAAAUAAUGGUACUGUUUCAUUAAAAAAAUGAAAACUACUUAAUUUUGAUAUUUGAAUUCUGAUUUUAGGCAGACAGGACAAGAGGUAACUGAGAUAAUUUUAAAAGCUGCUGUUACAUCCUUUUUCCUUUCUUUGAGAGCAUAUAGGAACACAUACCAUAGCAUUUACAGAGUCAAAAAGAGAUUGCAUCUUUUUCAUAUCACACACUGAUUUCUUCUGAUUCUGGGCUGCCUAAGGUGUGGUUUGUAAUGUGCUUACUACAUAUAAACUUCUUCCUUUAAGGAAUGUUACAGUAUUCUCUAUUAAGUGCAUUAUUAUAUGUAAAUGAUAUACUGCAAGUAAACACAUUUAAAUAGUUUGGCGCAUAGGUUUAGCUAUUAAUCUUUAUAUCUUACCUGUAUAAACCAUAACACGAGAAAUUCGUUUGACUCUUCUAUGCACAGGUAAUUUUCCUCACUAUAUGAAAAGUUGACAGUACUUAGUUUAGAAAUUUAUUAAUGAUUUAAAAUUAUUCACACAUAUAUUCUUUUUUUGUUGUUUUCUAUUAAAAAUUUUUUUUAUUUACACAUAUGUAUAUUCAUACAGCAGUCAAGGUACUAAAAAUUGAAAACAAUACAGUUUUGAGGAAUUUUCACUUAUUUUCCUCUCCUGGAAAUGGGAGUGAGGAAGGCAGAAAACUGAAGAUAGGAAAAAUCCAGAAGAAUAUCCUAUUAAGCCGAACAAAAAGCUGAAGCACCAAAAAAUAAUUCCAGGAGAAGUAAACCUUCGGUUACGUUUAUAACUACACUCAAGCACAGAGAGUUAAAACGGAGGCAGAAGGCAUUCCUGAAUUUUCCCCAAGUGACUGCAGUGUAGCUGGUGAGAUUUAGGAAGGUGAAACUGUAUUUGGUAACCCAAUUAAAAGAACUACAUUCUCCAGCUACUUACUGGAAAACCAUUCUUAGUAUUUUGAAACUUGUCAUAACCUGUGCUAAUGUUGGCUUUUGUCUUCCUCUUUCCUGAGUAACUA
rnacentral:lncRNA from 1 species